CAGCCAAAAUUUUCAGGGAGCUGAACUUUACUCUGGUCUAUAGAGCUGUAGUCUUAAGAGAAUUUGCUAACAGAGAAAAUCUCUAUUUCUGUCUUAUAGAUUAGAGUAACUAAAAGCCCUAACUUUCUGGAGGGAAGAUACAAGUAUUUUUUUAGGAGUUCCCAGUACCAGAAACCACUUGCAAGAUCAUGUAGAGAGAACUGAAGUCACAGGGGUAAACAUUACCCUGAAAUUUGGAGAGACAAGUGGGUACAUCCAGAAAGAAAUAGCUUGUGUGGAGCAGAAGCCAGUCAUAAAAUGGUGCGAACACUUAAAUGAGUCUGAGAUGAAGAGGAGAAAAAGAAAAAAAUUAUUUGAAGAAAUAAUGGCUGGAAACUUCAUAAAUUUGGCAAAAGACAAAAACCCGCUGAGUUAAUAAGCCCAGCAAACUCCGAACAGGAUAAAUCCAAAGAAAUGACUGCCCAGAGACAGCAUAAAGAGCUUGCAAACUAAAUGCAAAGAAAAAAAAUUGAAAGCAGCCAGAGG
rnacentral:lncRNA from 1 species